GGUGGACACAGCAGAAAUGUGACUGACCUACCCUUCAAAAAAUGUAGGUAUUUGCUACAUCAUAAGAGACCAUUAUGAGGCAUAUUUACCAUUGAUAAUUUACAAGGAAAUAGAUGAAAACUGUCAGAUGAAAUCUUAAGAUAAGCACUGUAAUGCAGUAAAUUCCAUAAUUCAUCAGCGUCGCACAGCUGGCCGCCGUGUUUUCUGUCAGUGCCUAGGGCAGCCCACAGUUCUACAGCUACAGCGUUCCCCAAAAUUUAUAUGCUGAAGGCUCAAUUCCCCAAUGUGACUAUAUUUGGAGAGGGGCUGUGAGGAGGUGAUGAAGUUUAAAUGAGGUCAUAAGGGUGGGGCCCUGAUCCAAUAUGACUGGGGUGUUUAUAAGGAGAUACACCAGAGGUGCAAGCACACAGCGGAAAGAUCACUGAAGACAUGGCAAGUAGGGAAGCAUUUACAAGCCGAAGAGAGAGGCCUCAGGAAAAACCACACAGCUAACACCUUGAGCUUAUACUUCUAGACUCCAGAAUGAUGAGAAAAUCAAUUUCUGCUAUUCAAGACACCCAGCAUCUGGUAUUUUAUUAUGGCAGUCCUGCCAAACUAAUGCAGACGCCAUGAAUACAUUUGCUUCUUUACCAUGGGAAACAGAUCACCUCUGUUUUCAUCAAAAUAAACACAACUUGUUUUCAUGGACUUGUUUUCUUUUAUUUCAUUUUGUGCUUCUUCCUGUUCUUCACUAUGACUUCUGAAUCAACCCACCCCUACUCCUCUCUUUGGUCCUACCAUGACUCACCAUUGUAGUGAAGAAGCUUCCAUCCCUCUCUCAGCUAAAGAUAGCCAAGGGCAAUAACUGGUUGCACCGAUUUGCAGCACUUUGCAUAAGCUGACGCGUGCCCAGGAUGCUCCAAUCAAAAAGCAUCCACCUAAAGAAAAACAUGUGUCUUCCUCCAUCUUCCACCGAGAUGCCCAUCACUGAUUUUCUGUUCUGCAAGGACACUUUCAGCCAAGGAAGCCAGAGAUAAAACUGUUGACUUCAAGAUUUUUAUCCUGCUUCUGAGGGUGGUUUGGACACAAAUCCACAGAGAGGAGACAGUGGGAAUGUAAAUAAUACAUAAAGCCAGAGAAGACCGUCCUCUAUUUUGUUCAGAAUUCCAAGAGUUGUUUACCAUUUUGGAAAAUCGUGUCACCAGCCGCAGGACCAGCUUUGUGACCUGAGUCGCCGAUAGCACCAUUUUAGGCUGCACUGGAGGUAGCAGAUGUCAGGCACCUGACCACUUCAUAUGGUGUCCAGAACAGGGUGCCUGCACCGGAACCCUCACAGGUGAAAAGACAUGGACGACCCAUUGGCUUUUCAAAACUGAAGGAAAGACUCAGCAGACUUCACAUGGCCAUGUGAGCCUCCACACGUUAUUUAAUGGGCUGUUAUGAAUCACCCUCAUUUCUCCUCACCUGUCUGCCCUGCAAAGCAACAACAACAACAACAACAACAUUAAAGACGGUGAAAGCAUAAAGCUCUGAGGCAGAGGCGCGGCACGGACUGAAACGGGAGGUACUUGGAAUCCGAAGCCCCCAGUCCUGCCGGACCCCCAGUCCAAGCCUCCCGCUUGCUUCAGGACGCGUGGACCGCUCGGGCACGGCCCGGCUACCUGGCGUCCGCGGGAUGCCCAGGCUUCCAGGGGAACAAACCUGGCAGGAACGACGCCCCGCGCAGCUCAGCCGACCCCGGCCCCCCGCCCCCGGGAGCUGCAUUCCGAGCUUCCGCCCCUCCCCCCUCCACCUCUGCCUGGACCCAGCGGUGUCAGAAGGGCGAGUGGACGUGGGUGCGAUGUGUCCUCCGGCCGCCCCAAACUGUCAGCAGAUCAGCAAAACACUCGGAAAUGGGACUCCCCCAACAUACGAAGGGGUAUUCCUCUCUGAGCGCUGCUUCUUUUCAUUACAGGGAACUUCAGCAAUGUUGCCUUAAAUUUGUUGGAAGUAUUUGCCAUCCAAAAUUGAGAUUAAAAAAAAAAAAGAAAGAAACCCACCCCAUUAUGAGAGAGGUCUGAUGCAAUCUGCUUGUGAUUUUCACAUCAUUUAAAGUUUUUAAAAUGUUUAAAUUCGAUCUUGGUGCUUUGGGGCAUUGCUUGAAUUUUUUAUAAUAAGCAAAUAUUACUUAAUGUUGAAAAAGUCAUUAUUUUUUUAAAUUUCCAGUGUAAAAGUUCUUGCAAUGGACGACAGUCCCGUGGGGUGUCCCAGGGUGGACUUGAUUUCUAGCAGCUGGUCUGCUGGCCUUACCUGCUGCCACCCCAGCCCCCAGAAGCCAAGAACCAGAAAGUGAAACCAUUUCUGCUGGUUUCACUUGCCUUGAAAACACACCACCAAAAGCAAAUAAAGGACCGAAAGCGAUUUAC